rnacentral:misc_RNA from 1 species
UUAAGUUCAGCGGGUAUCCCCGCCUGAUCCGAGGCCAAACCUUGUAAAAAUUUUGGGGUCAAUCGGCGACCCACCUAUUGGACACGCGAAGCGAGGGAAAAAAAUUCUUGCUACGCUCGCGGCCAGUAGGGGGCGCCUAAAGGUUUGGGGCUUGACAGCACGUCAUGGCCCAACAUCAAGCAAGGCUUGGGGGGUGUAAU